rnacentral:rRNA from 1 species
AAAGGAUAGUCUAUAAAGUUCUAGGUAAAAUAAUGAAUCGACAAAUUUUUACCUUUAUGUCUUGACCAAGUCACGUGCCAGCAGUCGCGGCAACACGUGGAAGACUAGUGUUAUUCAUGUUUAUUUGGUGUAAAGGGUACCUAGACGGCCAUUUUUGCCUGAAAAAUAGGUACGAUUUGGCUUGAGUUUUAUGUAAGUGAGAUAGAAGUACUUUGAGAGUAGGGAUAAAAUCCUGUGAUUCCAGUAGGGACUGAUAAAGGCGAAAGCACCUUACUAUGUAAAAACUGACGUUGAGGGACGAAGGCUUGAGUAGUGAACAGGAUUAGAUACCCUAGUAAUCCAGGCAGACAAUGAUGAAUGUCAUAUGUAAGUUUUUUAAUUUAUGUAUAAAUGAAAGUGUAAACAUUCCACCUUAAGAGUAAUGUGGCAACGCAGGAACUGAAAUCACUAGACCGUUUCUGAAACCAGUAGUGAAGUAUGUUGUUUAAUUUGAUGAUCCACGGAAAACCUUACCACAACUUGUAUAAAUUUUUAUUUACAGGCGUUGCACGGCUGUCUUCAGUUGAUGUCGUGAGACUUUGGUUAGUUCCAUUAAAUCAACGUAAACCCUUAUUUUAUUUAUUAUAAAAUAGUUCUUCAAUUUUUUUGUUGAGUCGUGAUAACAGGGACUAAGACAAGUCAUCAUGA